ensembl:lncRNA
GCAGGCCUACCCACACAGACUGCACAGCACUUAUUUAUUUGCAUGUCAUGCUUAUAAUAUGGUAGAAAGCAAGACAAAUCUUCGAGGAGUGGAGAUGAGGCUCACCUUUCAGACUCGCUCUCUUAAAUAAAAAAGAAUUGUCCGGCUGGGCGCCUAAGAAUUUAUCUUGAGUUUGUGGUCAUUAUCUCUAUUAUACAGACCUGGCAAUAAAUAAAUCGGGUAGUUACUAUCCAACAAUAAAACUGUAGUGCUACCUAAUCUGCUUCAAGACAAAGGGUCGGCCAGGAUCAAAUGUCUUUCCCCCACCCGUGUCUCUAUUUUAACCGCCUGGUGAGUCGACUUUAAUGAAGAUCGCCCCCGUCGCAGCAGCCACCCAAGCGGUCUCUAGGAGAAAGGGCGCAAAACAGAGCCCGGGGGACCGACCCGGGGAAGGCGUUCUACGACCUGUCCGUGGGCACGCCCUUGGGUGCGCACGGAGUCCAAAGGCCCAUCUGGAGAGACUGCUUGGGCCAUUUCUCCCUCUCAUGGCCCUCAUCCCGCUUCCUGCCAGUGUGCCUGCCCACGCAGAGCUUUCCGAGGUGGGGGUCGCAUCCCUCCGACUUCUCCCGGCUCGCUCUCCGCCCAGGCACGGCACACCACACGCGGACAAGAGCGCGAGCAGCCUGGGCCGGUCGGAGAAGUCCGUCCUCACUCCUCUGCCGGCUCCUCUGCGUCCGCAGGCAUAAAAACCCAUCAACGGGGCUCCGCAUAGGGGCGCGGACGCGGAGGUGGGCUGGAGGUGCGGGCGCUCCUUUCAGGUGCCUAGACGUGCGGCUGGCUGGAGAGGAUGUAUGCACUCCCACCCGGCCUGGGCUCCAGCGCAGGGGCCUCGCCUCCUCCGCCAGGGCGAGGUGCGCGUCUUCCACCCAAACCGGGAUCCCUAGCCCGGCCGGAGGCGCAAUCUGUUCCGAGCCAGAGCCUUCCAGAGCCCCCAGGAGGAUGCGCCCACCCUCCGGCCGGCCGGCGCCUUCCAACACCAUCGCCACACUCACUUUCAUGCCAGCGCGAAAAGUGACGCUUACGGGCACAGCGGUCAGCAAAUGACCGCCUUAUCCGCGGAGCGGGGGGAAUCGGGGGAGGGGGUGUGGGGAGAGCUGGGGGUAGAAAGGGGCAAAGGGGCAGUGGUAAGCCAGGGAAAAAAAACAAACAGUCCUGCUUCGCUUCCCCUUUUGUCUUUAUACAGCUUGUCUCAAGAAAUCAACUUAAGUACCGUAAGCCCCCACCAGGCUUGUUUUUGUUUGUUUGUGUGACUUAGAUCACAGAUAGAACUAGAGACUGAAUCUCUGUGUGUGAAAGAGAAAAAAAAUUUAAAAAGCCGCGGCUGGGCUACUGAUGGUGAAGGGACGAUGAACUUCUCACCUUUCUCUAACUCACAAACACACGUCCUUAAAAAAAAAAAUCCACGCCGCCGUGGGUGUGUGUUUCACUGUUAAUUGCGUUUUGCUGGGAUGAUUUUUUACGACUGGAAAACAAGCGGCUGGGAAAAUAUUCACGUUAGGGACAGAAAACAUUUUUUAUUUAUAUCUUUGACAUUUAAAAGAGCAGAAUUAAUUUGUCCUGUCUACAUUAGCAUUGAGAGAAAGUUUCAGAAAUCUACCCAGGGGGAAGAGGAGGG